rnacentral:rRNA from 1 species
UAGGGAAUCUUCGGCAAUGGGGGGAACCCUGACCGAGCAACGCCGCGUGUGUGAAGAAGGUUUUCGGAUCGUAAAGCCCUGUUGUUAAGGAAGAACGAGUGUGAGAAUGGCAAGUUCAUACUGUGACGGUACUUAACCAGAAAGGGACGGCUAACUACGUGCCAGCAGCCGCGGUAAUACGUAGGUCCCGAGCGUUGUCCGGAUUUAUUGAGCGUAAAGCGAGCGCAGGCGGUUAGAUCAGUAUGAAGUUAAAGGCAGUGGCUCAACCAUUGUAUGCUUUGUAAACUGUUUAACUAGAGUGCAGAAGGGGAGAGUGGAAGUCCAUGUGUAGCCGUGAACUGCCUAGAUAUAUGGAGGAACACCGGUGGCUGAAGCGGCGCGCGGGUCUGUAACUAACACAGAGGCUCGAAAGCGUGUGGCGCGAACAGG